rnacentral:rRNA from 1 species
AGGCCAGACUCCUACGGGAGGCAGCAGUGGGGAAUCUUGCACAAUGGGCGAAAGCCUGAUGCAGCGACGCCGCGUGGGCGAAGAAGGCCUUUGGGCCGUAAGGCCCUGUCGGGAGGGAAGAAGGAAGCGACGGUACCUCCCAAGGAAGCCCCGGCUAACUACGUGCCAGCAGCCGCGGUAACACGUAGGGGGCGAGCGUUAUCCGGAAUCAUUGGGCGUAAAGGGAGCGCAGACGGCAGUGCAAGUCUGGAGUGAAAGCCCGUGGCUUAACUACGGGACUGCUCUGGAAACUGUGCAGCUAGAGUGCAGGAGAGGCAGGCGGAAUUCCUAGUGUAGCGGUGAAAUGCGUAGAUAUUAGGAGGAACACCGGUGACGAAGGCGGCCUGCUGGACUGUAACUGACGUUGAGGCUCGAAAGCGUGGGGAGCAAACAGGAUUAGAUACCCCUGUAGA